CCCGGUUUAAGCGUGUAGGCUGGUUUUCCAGGCAAAUCCGGAAAACCAAGGCUGAGGCGUGAUGACGAGGCACUACGGUGCUGAAGCGACAAAUGCCCUGCUUCCAGGAAAAGCCUCUAAGCAUCAGGUAACAUCAAAUCGUACCCCAAACCGACACAGGUGGUCAGGUAGAGAAUACCAAGGCGCUUGAGAGAACUCGGGUGAAGGAACUAGGCAAAAUGGUGCCGUAACUUCGGGAGAAGGCACGCUGAUAUGUAGGUGAAGCGACUUGCUCGUGGAGCUGAAAUCAGUCGAAGAUACCAGCUGGCUGCAACUGUUUAUUAAAAACACAGCACUGUGCAAACACGAAAGUGGACGUAUACGGUGUGACGCCUGCCCGGUGCCGGAAGGUUAAUUGAUGGGGUUAGCGGUAACGCGAAGCUCUUGAUCGAAGCCCCGGUAAACGGCGGCCGUAACUAUAACGGUCCUAAGGUAGCGAAAUUCCUUGUCGGGUAAGUUCCGACCUGCACGAAUGGCGUAAUGAUGGCCAGGCUGUCUCCACCCGAGACUCAGUGAAAUUGAACUCGCUGUGAAGAUGCAGUGUACCCGCGGCAAGACGGAAAGACCCCGUGAACCUUUACUAUAGCUUGACACUGAACAUUGAGCCUUGAUGUGUAGGAUAGGUGGGAGGCUUUGAAGUGUGGACGCCAGUCUGCAUGGAGCCGACCUUGAAAUACCACCCUUUAAUGUUUGAUGUUCUAACGUUGGCCCGUAAUCCGGGUUGCGGACAGUGUCUGGUGGGUAGUUUGACUGGGGCGGUCUCCUCCUAAAGAGUAACGGAGGAGCACGAAGGUUGGCUAAUCCUGGUCGGACAUCAGGAGGUUAGUGCAAUGGCAUAAGCCAGCUUGACUGCGAGCGUGACGGCGCGAGCAGGUGCGAAAGCAGGUCAUAGUGAUCCGGUGGUUCUGAAUGGAAGGGCCAUCGCUCAACGGAUAAAAGGUACUCCGGGGAUAACAGGCUGAUACCGCCCAAGAGUUCAUAUCGACGGCGGUGUUUGGCACCUCGAUGUCGGCUCAUCACAUCCUGGGGCUGAAGUAGGUCCCAAGGGUAUGGCUGUUCGCCAUUUAAAGUGGUACGCGAGCUGGGUUUAGAACGUCGUGAGACAGUUCGGUCCCUAUCUGCCGUGGGCGCUGGAGAACUGAGGGGGGCUGCUCCUAGUACGAGAGGACCGGAGUGGACGCAUCACUGGUGUUCGGGUUGUCAUGCCAAUGGCACUGCCCGGUAGCUAAAUGCGGAAGAGAUAAGUGCUGAAAGCAUCUAAGCACGAAACUUGC
rnacentral:rRNA from 1 species